rnacentral:rRNA from 1 species
AUUGAGCGCUGGCGGCAUGCCUUACACAUGCAAGUCGAACGGCAGCACGGGUGCUUGCACCUGGUGGCGAGUGGCGAACGGGUGAGUAAUACAUCGGAACAUGUCCUGUAGUGGGGGAUAGCCCGGCGAAAGCCGGAUUAAUACCGCAUACGAUCUACGGAUGAAAGCGGGGGACCUUCGGGCCUCGCGCUAUAGGGUUGGCCGAUGGCUGAUUAGCUAGUUGGUGGGGUAAAGGCCUACCAAGGCGACGAUCAGUAGCUGGUCUGAGAGGACGACCAGCCACACUGGGACUGAGACCCGGCCCAGACCCCUAGGGGAGGCAGCAGUGGGGAAUUUUGGACAAGGGGCGAAAGCCUUACCCAGCAAUGCCGGGGGUGUGAAGAAGGCCUUCGGUUUGUAAAGCCCUUUUGUCCGGAAAGAAAUCCUUGGCUCUAAUACGGUCGGGGGAUGACGGUCCCGGAAGAAUAAGCACCGGCUAACUACGU